CAAUAGCGUAUAUUAAAGUUGUUGCAGUUAAAAAGCUCGUAGUUGAAUUUCUGGCGGGCGCGCCGGUCUUCCAAGUGUUGUACUGGGCGCAGUCCGCCAUCCUUGUGGAGAGGGCUCGCAUUGAGUUGCGUGUCGGAUCUGCAUCAUUUACUGUGAAAAAAUUAGAGUGUUUAAAGCAGGCUGUCGCUUGAAUACAUUAGCAUGGAAUAAUAAGAUAGGACUUCGGUCUAUUUUGUUGGUUGCGAACCGAGGUAAUGAUUAAUAGGGAUAGUUGGGGGUAUUCAUAUUUAAUUGUCAGAGGUGAAAUUCUUGGAUUUAUGAAAGAUGAACAACUGCGAAAGCGUUUACCAAGGAUGUUUUCAUUAA
rnacentral:rRNA from 1 species